AUUCUUAUUUGAAACCCAUGUAUCAAAAGCAUCUUUAAGAUGAGAGUAUGGUCUAUUACGUGUACCUUUACCCACAUAAAAAAUAGCAGAAAGGAAUGUAGUCCAAGCUAUGGGUUUUGUUAGAUUUUCUAUACGAGAAGUAUUAUCACAAUAUUUUCCAAGUAUUACAAUUGCUUUAUAAUAUUUACCAUCAAAUGCAUAAUGAAAUGGACUACGUCCUUCAUCAUCCAAACAAAGAGGAUCUCCACCAUUUGCUAAAAGUAACUCUAAAACUGUGGCUCUACCCCAUGCUGCUGCUACAUGAACUGGAGUUAAUCCAUCUAUUGAUCUAUAAGAUUAAUUAAAAUAGCACUUCAUUGUUAUAUAUUGAAAAAAUUAUAUUUUUAUAUAUUUUCAAAUAAACAUUUUUCUUCAAAAUAUAAAAUCAA